rnacentral:misc_RNA from 1 species
AAAGCAUGCCUUCCAAUGCAAAUAGGCUUUGUCCAUCCUGGAAUAAGCCGUGGGAUGUUUUUGCACAUGAUUGGCUCUCUGAACACAGUGCCAUUUAAAAUGUUCCUUAUUGUCCCAUUAGGACUCCUCCACAUAGAUUUCAGGCCAAACUCCUUAACUCGAGCUUCAUCUGGGGUUAUUGUUGCGCAUUUAAUAGCCAGA